ensembl:lincRNA Gm13387 predicted gene 13387
AUCCUCCUGUGUGUGUCACAUCAAGAGCUCAAGAACUCUUCCAUUCUCCCAGGAUGUUGUAGCUGGAGACUAAGGACAGCUUUGCACUCGUGAGACAACUCUGGGAUCUGACCCCAGGACCACCUGCACACCUAAGAAUGGAUUAAAUUACAACACAGACACAUCCAUACAAAGCGGCUGCUCUUGGAAGAUGUGUGUGCAUAUACCUGUCCUGUCUCUCCUUUGCACCCUUCAUGGUUUCACACCAGCCCUGCAGCUAUAGAGUCUCCAUUGGACUGUGAGCAUCAGGAAAGCUCUCUGGACCAGCAUGUGCACUUCACCUGAUGCUUAUGGAAGAUACACAGCACACACAGGAAAACACCUCCUCCAGGAUUGCUCUAGGCCUCAGAGGAAUUGGCCAGAGCUUCGAAGCAGUGUGGGCAGGGCCUUCCUGACAUUGUGGCAUGACUUCUGCUUGCUGCCUUCUCCCAUAAAACAGUGAUUCCUCCGUAGAAAGCACUCAGCAGUGGGGAGAGCAUGGAGAACAAGCACAUCGUGCAACCCCAAGCCACCCCCACCCCUUACCUCUUGGUGCUGUGGCCAGCUGUCUUCACACAAUGGUUGGUACUCACUUACCCAGAGGCCCCCUCAAGAUUCUGCCCUUGCUUCCAGCCUCGACCCCCAACUCCAGACUGCAGGAUGUCGUCUGAGGGUCUGAUAGGAUGUACACUACUUGGAGAAGGGGCCAGAGGCAAGGCUGUCAGGAGGGGAUUGGGUAGCUGUGGGUACCAGCUGUGGGAUGGCAGUUCACAGCAAGGCUGUGCCUAGAUUUCCCUAGAGCAGCCUCAGGUGUCUCUGCCUCCUCCUCCUCCCAGCCCCAUAACUGUGCCAGCUUUCUAGACUAUUACCAGUGGCUGAGGACACAGAACCGGUUGAUCCUUUAGGUCAGGUACAAACCUCUAGUUGGUGCUCAAAACCUGGCAACAACUUCUGGAGGUAUGAAAGAAGAAGGAGGGGAGAGGAGAUGCUCAGAGGAGAAGAGAAAACUCAAAGCUAAGGUCAUUCAUUCAGUUCUGCAGAUGUCAGAGCCUGCUGGCCUGGCUGGAAAAUCUCGGGCCUUCAGAAGCAGACAGUGGCGACAGGGCUGGGGAACACAGGGCAUACAGAGCAUGCCCCAGUGCCCUGGGCUCUUUGCAGGGCAGGGUUGAGGGCAUCUAUCUUAGUCAGGGUUUCUAUUCCUGCACAAACAUCAUGACCAAGAAGCACUUUGAGGAGGAAAGGGUUUAUUUGGCUUACACUUCCAUACUGCUGUUCAUCACCAGGGAAAUCAGGACUGGAACUCAAGCAGGGCAGGAAGCAGGAGCUGAUGCAGAGGCCAUGGGGGGAUGUUCUUUACUGGCUUGCUUUUCCUGGCUUGCUCAGCCUGCUCUCUUAUAGAACCCAAGUCAACCACCCCAGGGAUGGCACCACCCACAAGGGGCCCUUCCCCCUUGAUCACUAAUUGAGAAAAUGCCUAUUAGCUGGAUCUCAUGGAAGCAUUUCCCCAACUGAAGCUCCUUUCUCUGUGAUAAAUCAGGUUGACACAAAACUAGCCAGUACAGCAUCCCUCCAAACCCCUUCCCUGAAAACACUGGGGGGCCAUGUGGCAUUGCUGCUGCAGAUGCCAAAUGAGGACUUUGGGGCUCAGCCUUUCUAGUCUCACAGAGGUCAUCCUGGGAUACUGCUGUAGGGAGAGAGUCUUGCCUGUCUGUUGCUGAUGUCAAGUUACUAUAUUUUAAGGUUUUUACUUUCCUCAAAGUCACGCUCAUGAACAGGAAUUCUACAGAACUGUACUCCCUCCCCCUUCCCAAGACCCAGCCAGUGCAGGUCAACUUGGAGAGAGCAUGCACCCAGUGUGGUCACUCUCAGGAGGUUUGGAUGGCCCAAAAGUAAUAAAUAGCAGGAGAGGUCCAAGUUAAAGCAUCACACUGUGAGUGCGAGCGUGUGGCACACAACCCAGCCACAUCCUCCGAGCUAAUUAUUUCUGACGUGAGGUUUUUCUCAGUCCACCAAGAAUGGCCCAUCUUCCUGCAAAAGCGGCUUCAUCUCUCAGGUUAUGGUAAAACAAAGCCUUUAGACAUAUCUUAUAUACAGCGUCUGGGCUGUGGUGUCCAUCCAAGGUGUAGCUCCCUCUCUGGCUGCUCCGUGGGCUCGGUGGAGCUGUGGAUACGGAGCUGAGAUCCAGAGUGCGGGGCAGCUCCUGGACACAGGCUCCCAUGUGACAGGGAGUGAGAACCACUGCUACACUUGACCCCUGGUGUGACCUGCUCUUUUGGAACUUUGGAAGCUCUCCACAUCGUGUUAAGACAGUUCAUGAUGUCAUGCCUAGGCAGGCCUGUUUGCUGGGCUACUGCAUCCUUUCCUCCAGGGCCAGUCUGACGAUCCUCACUCUUCUCCUGUGACUGAUUUCUGCUCAUUUUCCCUAAGGCUAUCAUUAUCUAGAUGUUUGGCUUUCUUGACAAAAUUUGUAAUAAUAAUUAAAAAAAAAUUACUUAUUUUCGUUCUUUUAUAGUACUUUGUAGAAGACAUCUUCAAGUUGAUUUUCUAAGUUGAUUUUGUUAAGCCUUUGGGGUUUUUUUUUUUUUUUUAUACCAAUGAGAAAGACAGCAAUAUUUAUUU